GAUGAACGCUGGCGGCGUGCCUAAUACAUGCAAGUCGAGCGAACGGACGAGAAGCUUGCUUCUCUGAUGUUAGCGGCGGACGGGUGAGUAACACGUGGAUAACCUACCUAUAAGACUGGGAUAACUUCGGGAAACCGGAGCUAAUACCGGAUGAUAUUUUGAACCGCAUGGUUCAAAAGUGAAAGACGGUCUUGCUGUCACUUAUAGAUGGAUCCGCGCUGCAUUAGCUAGUUGGUAAGGUAACGGCUUACCAAGGCAACGAUGCAUAGCCGACCUGAGAGGGUGAUCGGCCACACUGGAACUGAGACACGGUCCAGACUCCUACGGGAGGCAGCAGUAGGGAAUCUUCCGCAAUGGGCGAAAGCCUGACGGGGCAACGCCGCGUGAGUGAUGAAGGUCUUCGGAUCGUAAAACUCUGUUAUUAGGGAAGAACAUAUGUGUAAGUAACUGUGCACAUCUUGACGGUACCUAAUCAGAAAGCCACGGAUAACUACGUG
rnacentral:rRNA from 1 species